AUGAUCCAGAGUACCACGGGACACGUGAAACCCUGUGGGAAGCAGGAGGGACCACCCUCCAAGGCUAAAUACUACCUAGUGACCGAUAGCGUAUAGUACCGUACGGGAAAGGUGAAAAGAACCCCGGGAGGGGAGUGAAAUAGAACCUGAAACCCUGCACUUACAAGCUGUGGAAGCACAUUUCUUGUGUGACCGCGUACUUUUUGUAGAACGGGCCAACGAGUUACGUUAAGUAGCAAGGUUAAGCACUUAAGGUGUGGAGCCGUAGCGAAAGCGAGUUUUAACUGAGCGUUCAGUUACUUGACGUAGACCCGAAACCGGGCGACCUACCCAUGAGCAGGAUGAAGCGAAAGUAAAAUUUCGUGGAGGUCCGAACCCACGAGCGUUGAAAAGCUCGGGGAUGACUUGUGGGUAGCGGUGAAAUUCCAAUCGAGCCCGGAGAUAGCUGGUUCUCCCCGAAAUAGCUUUAGGGCUAGCCUCAAGGUGAGAGAUACGGAGGUAGAGCACUGAAUGUCCUAGGGGGUAUUGCACCUACCGAAGACUAUCAAACUCCGAAUGCCGUCAUCUUAUACUUGGGAGUCAGACUGUGGGUGAUAAGAUUCAUAGUCGAAAGGGCAACAGCCCAGAUCGUCAGCUAAGGUCCCUAAAUGUAAGUUAAGUGGUAAAGGAUGUGGGAUUGCACAGACAACCAGGAUGUUGGCUUAGAAGCAGCCACUCAUUCAAAGAGUGCGUAAUAGCUCACUGGUCGAGUGAUCCUGCGCCGAAGAUUUCCGGGGCUAAAACUUACUACCGAAGCUACGGCAUCAGUAAUGAUGGGUAGGGGAGCUUCCCAUACGGGUUGAAGCAUGACCGUAAGGACAUGUGGACAGUAUGGGAGUGAGAAUGUUGGCAUGAGUAGCGAGAUGUGGGUGAGAAUCCCACAGGCCGUAAACCCAAGGUUUCCAGGGGAAGGUUCGUCCGCCCUGGGUUAGUCGGGACCUAAGCUGAGGCCGAAAGGCGUAGGUGAUGGACAACAGGUUGAUAUUCCUGUACUACCGAUAACCGUUUGAGAGAAGGGAUGACACAGUAGGAUAAGCUAAGCACACUGUUGGUUAUGUGUGCCCAAGCAUUGAGGCAGUCAAAGUAGGCAAAUCCGCUUUGAUAAUGCUGGGAUGUGAUGGGGAGCGAAAUUUAGUAGCGAAGUAGCUGAUUUCACACUGUCAAGAAAAGUCUCUAUCGAGGUUAAAGGUACCCGUACCGCAAACCGACACAGGUGGGUGAGGAGAGUAUCCUAAGGCCAGCGAGAGAACUGUUGUUAAGGAACUCGGCAAAAUGACCCCGUAACUUAGGGAUAAGGGGUGCCACCAUCAGGUGGCCGCAGAGAAUAGGCCCAAGCGACUGUUUACCAAAAACAUAGGUUUCUGCUAAGUCGCAAGACGAUGUAUAGGAGCUGACGCCUGCCCGGUGCUGGAAGGUUAAGGGGAUCUGUUAGAGCAAUCGAAGCAGUGAACUUAAGCCCCAGUAAACGGCGGCCGUAACUAUAACGGUCCUAAGGUAGCGAAAUUCCUUGUCGGGUAAGUUCCGACCCGCACGAAAGGCGUAACGAUUUGGGCACUGUCUCAACAACAGACUCGGUGAAAUUGUAAUUCCGGUGAAGAUGCCGGAUACCUGCGACAGGACGGAAAGACCCCAUGGAGCUUUACUGUAGCUUGACAUUGGGUCUUGGUACUACAUGUACAGGAUAGGUGGGAGGCUUUGAAACCAGGACGCCAGUUUUGGCGGAGCCAUCCUUGGGAUACCACCCUUGUAGUACUGGGACUCUAACCAUAGGCCAUGAAUCUGGUCUUGGGACACUGUCAGGUGGGCAGUUUGACUGGGGGCGGUCGCCUCCCAAAAGGUAACGGAGGCGCUCAAAGGUUCUCUCAGUACGGUCGGAAAUCGUACGUAGAGUGUAAAGGCAAAAGAGAGCUUGAUUGCAAGACAUACAGGUCGAGCAAGGAUGAAAAUCGGACUUAGUGAUCCGGUGGUUCUGCGUGGAAGGGCCAUCGCUCAACGGAUAAAAGCUACCCUGGGGAUAACAGGCUUAUCUCCCCCAAGAGUCCACAUCGACGGGGAGGUUUGGCACCUCGAUGUCGGCUCAUCACAUCCUGGGGCUGUAGUAGGUCCCAAGGGUUGGGCUGUUCGCCCAUUAAAGUGGUACGCGAGCUGGGUUCAGAACGUCGUGAGACAGUUCGGUCCCUAUCCGUCGCAGGCGUAGGAAAUUUGAGAAGACCUGUCCUUAGUACGAGAGGACCGGGAUGGACGUACCUCUGGUGUACCAGUUGUUCUGCCAAGGGCAUGGCUGGGUAGCUAUGUACGGAAUGGAUAAGCGCUGAAAGCAUCUAAGCGCGAAGCCAACUUCAAGAUAAGAUUUCCCACCGCAAGGGUAAGA
rnacentral:rRNA from 1 species